CCUGUGACCACAGUAUGUAUACAGAAGAUCACCAUCCAGUACCCAAGUUUAUUCAGGUUUUGGAAACAACAAAUCCAUGAACACUAUUGCAGGAUUCUUCUUACUUGACACAAUGUAGCCUCAUGUAGUAAUGAGCAUUCAUCUCUUUCCAAUCAAGGUGAGAAAAUAAACUACAACUUCAGAGCUUAACUGAAUUUUUAAUGAGAGCAGACAUCUAACACAAGGCAAUGAAAACAGACGCAUGUAUGAAACAGCAUAUGCAAUCUGCAUAACUAUCAGAGAAAGAAAAUAAUAUAGACACAAGAUGAAACUCAUAAAUACAGGAGGAUCACAAGAACACUAACAUCUGUGGAAAAAAGAACUGUUGAAAAUCUCAUGUACAAGAGAUGAAGCAUAUGUACAUGUUCAUCG
rnacentral:lncRNA from 1 species